UACAGAGGUGGCAAGCGUUGUCCGGAUUUACUGGGCGUAAAGGAUGCGUAGGCGGAUGUUUAAGUGAGAUGUGAAAUACCCGAGCUCAACUUGGGUGCUGCAUUUCAAACUGGAUAUCUAGAGUGCAGGAGAGGAAAGCGGAAUUCCUAGUGUAGCGGUGAAAUGCGUAGAGAUUAGGAAGAACACCAGUGGCGAAGGCGGCUUUCUGGACUGUAACUGACGCUGAGGCAUGAAAGCGUGGGGAGCAAACAGG
rnacentral:rRNA from 1 species